rfam:Camponotus floridanus CamFlo_1.0_2.contig3865, whole genome shotgun sequence.
GGCUGAAUAGCUCAGUAGUAAGAGCAGUCGCCCGGCAAGCGAAAGACUCGGGUUCGAUUCCCGAUUCAGCGA